rnacentral:lncRNA from 1 species
AUGACAAAGGGAAUGUCAUAGUUUGGAAAGCCCCACAAUAAGAUGCACAUACUGUGUCCCUGCUGUGGGUCUAAGGCCUACCACCUUCAGAAGUGACCUGUGGCAAAUGUGGCUACUCUGCCAAGUGCAAGAGGAAGUAUAACUCGAGUGUCAAGUCUAAAAGACAAAAUACCACUGGGACUGGUGAAGUGAGGCACCUAAAAAUUGGGUACUGCAGAUUCAGCCAUAGAUUCCGUGAAGGAACAACAGCUAAAUCCAGAAAGACAACUGUUGCAGCAUCCAGUUCAUCUUAA